UACGUAGGGGGCAAGCGUUGUCCGGAAUUAUUGGGCGUAAAGGGCGCGUAGGCGGCUUUGCAAGUGACGGGUGAAAUCCCUCGGCUUAACCGAGGAACUGCCUGUCAAACUGCAUGGCUUGAGACCGGGAGAGGCGAGUGGAAUUCCUGGUGUAGCGGUGAAAUGCGCAGAUAUCAGGAGGAACACCUAUGGCGAAGGCAGCUCGCUGGGACGGUACUGACGCUGAGACGCGAAAGCGUGGGGAGCGAACAGG
rnacentral:rRNA from 1 species